AAACAAAAAUUAAUAAUACCAACUAACUUUUUCUUGGCUGCCUCUUGUCUUUCUUACUUUCUUUUAUUUUUUUUCUUUCUCCUUAUUGGCCCCUGUCUCUACAGCGUUGUAGUUCUAUUUUGAGCAACAACAAAAAAAAAAAAAA
rnacentral:ribozyme from 13 species